AUAGAGGUGGUUAGGUGUCUUGGCCCAGGGGUAAUAGAGGUGGUUAGUGUGUCUGGGCCCAGGGGUGAUAGAGGUGGUAAGUCUGUCUGGGCCCAGGGGUAAUAGAGGUGGUUAGUGUGUCUGGGCCAGGGGCUUAAUAGAGGUGGUAAGUCUGUCUAGGCCCAGGGGUAAUAGAGGUGUUUAAUGUGUCUGGGCCCAGGGGUAAUAGAGGUGGUAAGUCUGCUGGGCCC
rnacentral:lncRNA from 1 species